CUUUUCCAGUACAGAGAAACAGAAACUUAGGCCUAGUCUCCCAAAUUGCCAGUUUGUGGCCUGUCAUCAAGUCAGCCUGGCUCUGGCACACUAAGUCUUCUCAGUGCAGGGAUUAAAUCGCAUUUCUGAGGAGUCAGAGGCAGAACCAUCGCUGUGAGUUCAAGGCCACCCUGAUUUACAAGCUAAAUCUGCAGCAGGACGCUGAGGCCACACCCUGACUCUGUGCAGGAGUGUAUUACUGUUGCAGUUCGUCCUAUGCCCUGAUCAGUAGGUCUCCAUCAUGGCCAGCCUCACGGCCUCCAUGGACAUUGUCAUGGUUCUGCAUCUCACAGUGCUGUCCUGUAACUGCAGAGAUACAGUGACGAUGAUAAAAGAGAAGAAUUGAGAACAAGAAAGGAUAUGGAUGAAAAAAACCUUAAACAAUCAAUUAAGGUCACAAGUGUCUACUCUCUGAACGUGGAUGCUGGCUUAAGUCCCAACUGGUCCCUGAGCUGUGGUAUGAAGGAACUACCUCUCAGCGCAUUUGUUCCCACAGCCAAUCUGUUUCUGGGGUUCAGCCUUGCUUAAACGUUCUUCUGCCUGGAGCAAAGCAGAACUGUUCCACAACCAUUGAGCUCUGUGAGCUUCUCGACAGGAGACUUGGGACAGAAGUUGAAAUUUGACCCCACAUACUGUAAGAGACAAGAAUGAACCAGAGAAGUGUGUUGUGGAGGAUGCUGUGGACAUCCUAAAGGAAGCAGGGCAUGAUGGUUCCAAAUGCAGAACCUGGGCUUGAGACAGAAGAUGCCACAUAGGCAGAUGUCCAGGUCCCAGGCAUGGUGGACACAGCAGCACCACUGUCUGCACAAGAGACCCAGGGUGAGGGGCAGCUGAGGUGAAGGAGGAGGGAGAAGCUUCCUGCUGGACAUUGUGAGUAGGCAGAUCAGGGUCACUGUCAGGGUCACUGUCGGGGUGAUCUGUGGAGUGACCCUCAAUCUGUGAGGCAUGUCUUUCUUCCUCAGUCCACAGAGAACUCCAAAGUGUCAUGAACUAAGAAACACUUGGGAUGUGGAACACAGGUUGUUCCCUCAUGUGGGUCACCCAGAGGGUAUGGUGGUUCCCUAGAUGUGGCUGUUCUAUUGUGUCAGUCUGACUCUGCUCCAGAAGGUGGGACUUUCACUUUCAGUCGAUGAGUAUAACAGGCAGGCAGCUGCUUCUUCCUGGGAUCCUGAUGUGCAGUUAGUGAGCUGAAGCACACAGGAAAGAUGGCUGUGUUCCCUGUCAGCCCAGUCACAUGAAGAUUUUUUUUUGUACCUUAGGGAGUCUCUUAAGCUCCCCUACCUGCUCAUCCUCCCUGCAACUCUUGAAGACAAAGAUGAUCAAGGUCAGACAUCAGCCCAGGAUACAGUCAAGACUUGCAACCAUGUUGGGCUCUGGCUGUCCCUCUCUCUUUCUCUGCCAUAAGUGAAGGGACUCUGAUCAGCUUGUGCAUGGUAAGACUGGCUCAUCAGUCCUCACCCAUCUCCGCAAUUCCCCCUUCUUGCUAAACAUCAUUAGACUGUAUUCCUGAAAUGAGUCCCCAAGGUCUAUUCCCUUACACAGCAAAUACUUCCUGUUGAUGCUGACCACCAAGGUCCAGAUAUCAAAGUAUUGAAGUCCAGUAAUCAAAACCCCUUUUGCUCAUCUAAUUAACAUGUGCAAUUAACAUUAAACACCUCUUGCUAA